rnacentral:rRNA from 1 species
GACGUAGGGGGCCAGCGUUGCUCGGAAUUACUGGGCGUAAAGGGUUCGUAGGCGGUGCGGCAAGUCAGAAGUGAAAUCUCCAGGCUUAACUUGGAGGCUGCUCCCGAAACUGCCGUGCUAGAGUGCGGGAGAGGCGAGUGGAAUUGCAGGUGUAGCGGUGAAAUGCGUAGAUAUCUGCAGGAACACCCGUGGCGAAGGCGGCUCGCUGGACCGCAACUGACGCUGAGGAACGAAAGCUAGGGGAGCAAACAGG